CUUCCUGCGCUGUGAUUGGCUUGUCCACGUGAAGCUAUCUAUAUAACGCAAAAGCUGACUAAUUACUGCGUAGUUAGACAGACUCAUCCCCAUAGACUGGUCGCCGGCGCCAGGUGCUCCGAGGGCCGGGCAGAACGUGCAAGGCAGACCGCCAGAACUGGGUUUUGGCCGACGGAACCACCACAGGGCGCACGGGGUGGGAUCGUCGAGCGCCGUGGAGCCAAACGCCAAGCAGGAGCGAACAGUGGAGUGGGAGACCGAGGAAACAUUUUCCGGCAUGGGAGCAAGUGUCGUGGUAUCUGUUACCGUUGAAGGGAAAAGAUAUUGCAAGUCCUAACUACGCCAGUGAGAGCCCCGGCACCAGCAGCUUAAGGAAAUCCAGCCGGGCAGGUCUGGGACACCAGGCGGCAGCAGGGAAGCCAAGCGCCACGCGCAAGCCAUGGGGGAUUGACUCGGACCCGGGACGUAGAUGGCUAAUCCGUCGGGCAGACAACGAAGAAAUACUGAGAGAAAAACAAUGGGGAAGUACGGUCCGUUCGAAGCACCUGGGAACGCCGAUGGAGCUUAGAACGACGGAGGGCCCGAACGCCAUGCUAGGACACCGCCGCGGCCCAGAGAACAGCCGACGCGACAGGAAACAAGGGGAUACGAGCGCCAGAGAACGCUGACGCUGGGUCGGAGAUUUAGCGCAGGCCGUCGGGGUUUGCCGUGCCGAACAACCACGGGCACGGAGCUCGAGGGAAUGGACAGUAGUGGAGGCAGGGUGAAGGCUGCAACAGCGGUCGGAAGGGAAGGCGAUAUCAAUGUGUGAUUUCAUGGUGUUGUUUUCGUUUUGUGUUUGACAUUAACUCUUGCUGAAAUUUCAUUAAAUUUGUUUUGCAU